CUUAGAAACCCUGCUAGUACUGCCCUUAGGUUGGUACCUGGAUAUUUCAUGAGCCUACACUUUCUGACACAAGUUCCUCAAAUUUUCAUGAUUCCCAGCUCACAUCUGGAGAUCUCAAUACAAAGCAGCAGGGAGGAGAGAUCGGUCAAGCAGGAGAUGAGAAGAUGACUGUAGUAGCACCUGUAUCCCAUCAGAUGAAGAGCAAAUGUGAUUGACAGUAGAAACCUCAUGAGGGAACAGAGAGGAAAAGCUGGAGGACACCUUUCCCCUGGUAUUUUGCCUCAGUUUCCAGUGGAAACACAGAUUUUGUGUGUUAGAAAAAGCAUAUGUUCAGUACAGCUUAGCAGCUGUAGUAAAACAUUUCUUCCACUGAACAUCCCAUUUAUUUAGAGCCCAGGCCUGAUUUUGUUUUCUUGUAAAAAAACAUUACCUUUUUCUUCAGUCAAAGAGACU